UGGGCUUAACCUUCAUUGUUGGGAAACUUCCAUGAUAAUAGUUAAUAUUCCUCAGCUACUGAGGACCUGACAUGCUGGGGACCAGGAAGCAGAAAGAGGAAAAAGGUCCAGAUUGUCACCCGGGAAGGUCUGGAAACACGAAGACACAUCUCAGGCUCCCAUUUCCACAGUUCACCUUGAGAUGAUCAUCUCCUCCAAAUCUACAUCAUUCUCCAAAUGUACAUUCUGUGCUGUGUUCCUGAUCUUGGCCGACGGACCUUCCAUCCCCCUGACUGCCUCCAAGUAGAGACCUGCAUAUCUCCCUCGUGUGCAUCACUAAUUUCUUCUCAUGAAUGACAGACUCCGCACCCAGGUCAACACAGAAACUCAAGAUGCUCCUUUCACUUGAGGGAGGAUCCCGUCUAACGCCUUGGACGUGAGUUGGCGCGAACCAAACCCGCACAGAACAAUCCCCGUGCCCUCUGUGCUCAAGGAGACCCGGAGAACCUGGUAAGCGUGGGCUGAGUGCAGGUGAGUGUGCCCGUGGCCUGUGUGUGCUCGCCAUGCACCAUCAAUGAAUCACAGAUCAGAUAAAACGUGUGCAUCGACUCCCUCCGUCUCCACCAGAGCCCUGGCCAGGAAGAGGCUUUUAUGGCCAUUGUUUUCUUAACGACAACAUCAAGGCUGAUGAUAAGUAUAUUAGCUAUUAUUUAGAUAUAUUGUAUAUUUUCAUAUAUUACGCAUGACCUCAUGUGCAAGGGCUUGGAUACGCGUACAGACAGCGGCAGAGGCGGGCAGAAGACAGAACUGGUAUUCACAACAUGCUCGUGAGCUGUCGGAAAACCCACACGGCUCAGAAUUGUGGAAUCGGGAGGACCUUCCUUCCAGGCAGGAAAGUGCUUUGCCCGGAAUUGUUGUCGGCUUCUCCCUGCAAGUGGCCGUGGCUCUCACAGCCCUGGUGUCUGCGUCCCAGAUUUCCCCCGAGAACUCCGAGUCUAGGGCUUGGUCAUUACAGCACAUCACAGCAGAAGUCCCCUAGGGGUCGGCUGUGCUAACGUCACGCAUUGUGUCCCCGACCAGACCCCCGCAGGGCUGCCCUCAGCCCCCUUGGACACAGCAGGUGGUCACAUGGCAGGCUCCUCAUUCGAAUCUCCGUAUCCUCUGUGCAUUGACAGGCAGAGGCCAUAUAAAGAAUAAAAAGGCACUUUCCAAAAAAAAAAAAAAAAAAAAAGCAAACUGGUGGCAUUCUUGUUGUCCUCAAAGGGGUCUCCCACGUGGAUGUUUGACCGUGAGGUCCGUGCGUGUCCCAGGGGACAUGAUACAGGAAACAAACAAAAGCACCCUCACAAUUAGGGAUAAGGUCUGUUUGUACGUGUGCACCUGCUGCAGGAAACUCGCCCGGAGUUUUUGUUCGCUGUGAAAGAUCUUUGCACCAACGGUUGUCAGGAACCCUGGAGAACAGGAGACAUGUGGCCGCCCCACGCCCUCUCCAGAGGCAAAGACAGACUCGUUCGAAAGCUCAUCUGAAGCACAGUGUCGUCCAGACGGGACCUCCGUGCACCUUCGAGUUUCCCUUCUUCAAACCUGGACGGGCCUGGCGAGCGCGGGGAGGGGGCCCGGGACACGCGUGCAACCUGGGAUGAGCGGUGGGGACCGGGCUGCUGCUCACGUCCGACCCCCCUUCGCAGCCGAGCAGGGACCUCUCUGCAUCAGGGAGACGUGAGACGCGUGCAGGCAGCUGGUCUGACCUGGGAGGCUCUGCGGGGACCUCCGCGCUCAGGCCGAGAAACCAAAGUCUGGGCGGCGCGGUGACGUGUUUGGGGAACCGGAGCGCGUCUGAGCUCUCGCGCCUCCAGUUGUGUCUCCACGACUGCGGGCCUUGCACGCAUGCACCUGCCUCAGCCCAGACACACACACACACACACACACACACACACACACACGCACACCCCUACGUACUUUACAAACUGCUAAACACACAGAACCCACCACAACGUAGUUUGGAAUAUCUCCCCCGGACAGGUGCCAUCAGAAAGUUUGUUCUCUUUUGGUCAAACAUAGCGGCAGUGAGGACUUUGUUUUCUUAUUA